AAAGUCGUAACAAGGUUUCCGUAGGUGAACCUGCGGAAGGAUCAUUAACACGUAUCCAACGUAAAAAACCCCCCUGUGUUCAAACCUGCUCUCGUAGCCCAGUGCGAUCCAGCAAUCCCGGUAAAUCAUUGUCGAACAGCUUUUGAUUCGGGACUUCUGACAAAUGAGAAGUUACAGUUACGAUUGAGCGGAGAUAGCUGCAUGGCAUCCCGAAGCAGUCAGUGUCUGAAAGUGUCAUUGAUUGUCUAAGGAUCUCGCCUCAACGAUUGCUAGAGGUCGCUCACCGACCGGCAGACAUGCAACCGGUCCCCACGCCCCUUUACAACCUGUGAGUCUAGGCGGACGCACUAGGCUAAAAAAACCUCGAACAACUGUUAACAAUGGAUAUCUUGGUUCUC
rnacentral:misc_RNA from 1 species